rnacentral:rRNA from 1 species
UGCAACUCGACACCAUGAAGUCGGAAUCGCUAGUAAUCGUGGAUCAGAAUGCCACGGUGAAUACGUUCCCGGGCCUUGUACACACCGCCCGUCACACCAUGGGAGUGAGUUGCAAAAGAAGUAGGUAGCUUAACCUUCGGGAGGGCGCUUACCACUUUGUGAUUCAUGACUGGGGUGAAGUCGUAACAAGGUAACCGUAGGGGAACCUGCGGUUGGAUCACCUCCUUACCUUAAAGAA